rnacentral:misc_RNA from 1 species
UACAGAGGGUGCAAGCGUUAAUCGGAAUUACUGGGCGUAAAGCGCGCGUAGGUGGCUUGAUAAGCCGGUUGUGAAAGCCCCGGGCUCAACCUGGGAACGGCAUCCGGAACUGUCAAGCUAGAGUGCAGAAGAGGAAGGUAGAAUUCCUGGUGUAGCGGUGGAAUGCGCAGAUAUCAGGAGGAACACCAGUGGCGAAGGCGGCCUUCUGGACUGACACUGACGCUGAGGUGCGAAAGCGUGGGUAGCAAACAGG